GAUGAACGCUGGCGGCGUGCCUAAUACAUGCAAGUCGAACGAGGCCCUUUGUAUUCGUACGAAGGUGUCCUAGUGGCGAACGGGUGAGUAACGCGUUGGUGACCUGCCCCGAAGUUUGGGAUAACCCUACGAAAGUGGGGCUAAUACCAAAUGUGGUCAUCGGAUUUAGAAACCGAUGUCUAAAGGAUUUAUUCGCUUCGGGAGGGGCCUGCGUCCCAUCAGCUAGUUGGUAGGGUAACGGCCUACCAAGGCUACGACGGGUAGGGGACCUCAGAGGGUGGCCCCCCACAAUGGAACUGAAACACGGUCCAUACACCUACGGGUGGCAGCAGUAGGGAAUAUUGCACAAUGGGCGAAAGCCUGAUGCAGCAACGCCGCGUGUGCGAAGAAGGCCUUCGGGUCGUAAAGCACUUUUCUGGGAGAUGAGAAAGGACAGUAUCCCAGGAAUAAGUCUCGGCUAACUACGUGCCAGCGGCCGCGGUAAAACGUAGGAGGCGAGCGUUAUCCGGAUUUACUGGGCGUAAAGCGCGUGUAGGCGGUUUGGUAAGUUGGGCGUGAAAGCUCCCGGCUCAACUGGGAGAGGUCGUCCAAGACUACCAGAC
rnacentral:rRNA from 1 species